GCAUUACCACCAUCUGAGGACUUGGAAAAGCAAAUGUUAAUGGCAAACAGCAGCAGUGUUACAGAAGCGUCUCAUAGUGAGGCAAUGUAUUGUAAAAGGAGUCCUUCAUCUUAAUAGUCUCUUAUCUCUAGAAGUCAAGAUAGAAAAAGCUACCGAAGAAGAGUAGAGGAAAAAUUGGUAAUGCAGUUAGCCAAAAAUGUACAAGCAUAGCCUGUAAAAGAAGGAAAAGGAGGUUUUGCCUGAGCCCAAGAUGUAUCACAUACCUUCACAUAGGGAGAUUGCUACCAGAGAACCAAUAAGCAUGCCUGCACCCCAAAGAACUGAGGAUAUAAAGAAGGAGCCUCUUGGUAUCUAAAUAUAGCAAGUAAGAAAGAGGGCUGAGGCCAGAAGUGAUC
rnacentral:lncRNA from 1 species